rnacentral:rRNA from 1 species
UACGAAAGGGGCUAGCGUUGUUCGGAAUUACUGGGCGUAAAGCGCACGUAGGCGGCCUUGUAAGAUGGGGGUGAAAUCCCCGGGCUCAACCCAGGAACUGCCUUCAUGACUGCAAAGCUAGAGGAUGCGAGAGGUUAGCGGAAUUCCGAGUGUAGAGGUGAAAUUCGUAGAUAUUCGGAAGAACACCAGUGGCGAAGGCGGCUAACUGGCGCAUUUCUGACGCUGACUUGCGAAAGCGUGGGGAGCAAACAGG